rnacentral:rRNA from 1 species
CCCUUAGAUGUUCUGGGCCGCACGCGCGCUGCACUGACUGCUCCAACAAGUUACCUGGGCUGACAAGCAUCCGGGAAAUCUUGCAAAGGCAGUCGUGAUGGGGAUAGAUUCUUGUAAUUUUUGAUCUUCAACGAGGAAUUCCUAGUAAACGCAAGUCAUCAGCUUGCAUUGAUUACGUCCCUGCCCUUUGUACACACCGCCCGUCGCAUCUACCGAUUGAAUGGAGAGGCAAAAUCUUCGGACCGUGACGCUUGGGAGUCAAAUCUCGGGCUGUCGUGGGAAGUGGAUUAAACCUUUCUAUUUAGAGGAAGGUAAAGUCGUAACA